rnacentral:rRNA from 1 species
GACAAGAAAUAACAAUACGGGGCUUAUGUCUUGUAAUUGGAAUGAUGCCGACUUACACCCUCGGCAGAGUACCAAUUGGAAGGCAAGUCUGGUGCCAGCAGCCGCGGUAAUUCCAGCUCCAAUAGCGUAUAUUAAACUUGUUGCAGUUAAAAAGCUCGUAGUUGUAUUUCAGCCUCGCGUUUUUUCCCUCUUUUCGGGUCUUUUCGCUGGCUUUUCUUUUUACUUUGAGAAAAUUAGAGUGUUUCAAGCAGACUUUUGUCUUGAAUACUUCAGCAUGGAAUAAUAGAGUAGGACCUUGGUUCUAUUUUGUUGGUUUUUGAGCCUUGGUAAUGGUUAAUAGGAACGGUUGGGGGCAUUCGUAUUUAACUGUCAGAGGUGAAAUUCUUAG